rnacentral:rRNA from 1 species
UACGUAGGGCGCAAGCGUUGUCCGGAAUUAUUGGGCGUAAAGAGCGUGUAGGCGGCCCGGUUAGUCCGCUGUGAAAGUCCAGGGCUCAACCCUGGAAUGCCGGUGGAUACUGUCGGGCUAGAGUCCGGAAGGGGCGAGUGGAAUUCCUGGUGUAGCGGUGAAAUGCGCAGAUAUCAGGAAGAACACCGACGGCGAAGGCAGCUCGCUGGGACGGUACUGACGCUGAGGUGCGAAAGCGUGGGGAGCGAACAGG